CCUACAGGAGGCAGCAGUGGGGAAUAUUGGACAAUGGGGGGAACCCUGAUCCAGCCAUGCCGCGUGUGUGAAGAAGGCCCUCGGGUUGUAAAGCACUUUCAGUGAGGAAGAACGCCUGGUGGUUAAUACCCAUCAGGAAAGACAUCACUCACAGAAGAAGCACCGGCUAACUCCGUGCCAGCAGCCGCGGUAAUACGGAGGGUGCGAGCGUUAAUCGGAAUUACUGGGCGUAAAGCGCGCGUAGGUGGCUUGAUAAGCCGGGUGUGAAAGCCCCGGGCUCAACCUGGGAACGGCAUCCGGAACUGUCAAGCUAGAGUGCAGGAGAGGAAGGUAGAAUUCCCGGUGUAGCGGUGAAAUGCGUAGAGAUCGGGAGGAAUACCAGUGGCGAAGGCGGCCUUCUGGACUGACACUGACACUGAGGUGCGAAAGCGUGGGUAGCAAACAGGAUUAGAUACCCUGGUAGUC
rnacentral:rRNA from 1 species